UGUCAAGCCCAAGGAAAUAUGAUUCUACUUUGACAACUGCCUCCUUUAUAGUUAACCAGAGUAUAGGGUUUCUUUUACUUUUCUUUCCUUUAUUUCCAAUUCAUUUCCUUGAUUUCAACUCAUCUUUAUCUUUCCAUAAUGAUUUUCACAUGAUUUUCAACCCUUAGAUCACGGUAGAGAGGGUAUCUUCUCAUAUUUCAAAAAGCCCCC
rnacentral:lncRNA from 1 species